GAUGAACGCUAGCUACAGGCUUAACACAUGCAAGUCGAGGGGUUUCAGGAAGAAAGCUUGCUUUCUUUGCUGGCGACCGGCGCACGGGUGAGUAACACGUAUCCAACCUGCCCUUUACUCGGGGAUAGCCUUUCGAAAGAAAGAUUAAUACCCGAUGGCAUAAUGAUUCCGCAUGGUUUCAUUAUUAAAGGAUUCCGGUAAAGGAUGGGGAUGCGUUCCAUUAGGUUGUUGGUGAGGUAACGGCUCACCAAGCCUUCGAUGGAUAGGGGUUCUGAGAGGAAGGUCCCCCACAUUGGAACUGAGACACGGUCCAAACUCCUACGGGAGGCAGCAGUGAGGAAUAUUGGUCAAUGGGCGCUAGCCUGAACCAGCCAAGUAGCGUGAAGGAUGAAGGCUCUAUGGGUCGUAAACUUCUUUUAUAUAAGAAUAAAGUGCAGUAUGUAUACUGUUUUGUAUGUAUUAUAUGAAUAAGGAUCGGCUAACUCCGUGCCAGCAGCCGCGGUAAUACGGAGGAUCCGAGCGUUAUCCGGAUUUAUUGGGUUUAAAGGGAGCGUAGGUGGACUGGUAAGUCAGUUGUGAAAGUUUGCGGCUCAACCGUAAAAUUGCAGUUGAUACUGUCAGUCUUGAGUACAGUAGAGGUGGGCGGAAUUCGUGGUGUAGCGGUGAAAUGCUUAGAUAUCACGAAGAACUCCGAUUGCGAAGGCAGCUCACUGGACUGCAACUGACACUGAUGCUCGAAAGUGUGGGUAUCAAACAGGAUUAGAUACCCUGGUAGUCCACACAGUAAACGAUGAAUACUCGCUGUUUGCGAUAUACAGUAAGCGGCCAAGCGAAAGCAUUAAGUAUUCCACCUGGGGAGUACGCCGGCAACGGUGAAACUCAAAGGAAUUGACGGGGGCCCGCACAAGCGGAGGAACAUGUGGUUUAAUUCGAUGAUACGCGAGGAACCUUACCCGGGCUUAAAUUGCAGUGGAAUGAUGUGGAAACAUGUCAGUGAGCAAUCACCGCUGUGAAGGUGCUGCAUGGUUGUCGUCAGCUCGUGCCGUGAGGUGUCGGCUUAAGUGCCAUAACGAGCGCAACCCUUAUCUUUAGUUACUAACAGGUUAUGCUGAGGACUCUAGAGAGACUGCCGUCGUAAGAUGUGAGGAAGGUGGGGAUGACGUCAAAUCAGCACGGCCCUUACGUCCGGGGCUACACACGUGUUACAAUGGGGGGUACAGAAGGCAGCUAGCGGGUGACCGUAUGCUAAUCCCAAAAGCCUCUCUCAGUUCGGAUCGAAGUCUGCAACCCGACUUCGUGAAGCUGGAUUCGCUAGUAAUCGCGCAUCAGCCACGGCGCGGUGAAUACGUUCCCGGGCCUUGUACACACCGCCCGUCAAGCCAUGGGAGCCGGGGGUACCUGAAGUACGUAACCGCAAGGAUCGUCCUAGGGUA
rnacentral:rRNA from 1 species